UAGAUUUUUCUAGAUCUAUAAAGUAUAAACUAGUAUUGUAUAUAUAGAUCUAGAUCUAGAUUCUAGAUCUAGUUAAGUACGGAAUAGUUAGGUCCUAGUCCAGAGGGGUAAAACACCAUGUACCGUGUAAUUAUAGUGUAAUAGUACUAAAAGUAAGCUAUCAACCGACAACUAAGUAACUUUACUAACAACCACUGUUGUUGUUCCUUGAUUUGAUCACAGUCACAGACAAACAGAGUUUCAGUUGAAGAUUCGGAAGAUGAUUUAGGGACUGUAUUCGUAGUAAUUAGAAUUCCAGGUAUCAUUCCCAAAAAAGGUUACCCCAAACUGGCUGAAAAUGGAAGUGCUAGUUUAGAAAUCAUUGACAAUGGGAACAAACUAGAGAUGACUGCUUCUGUUAAUUCAAAAAUCAAAGGCAAAGAGCCUCUUAGUUACUGGCUUACAGUGAAUAAAUUGCCAUCACAGGUUCAAAUAAACAAGUGUGUCUGGGAGAUUCAGAACAAUGGGAUUUUAGCGACUUUGGUCAAGGUACACAAAAACAUUUCUUGGAAUGCUGUUCUAGCCAGUACUGGUAAAUUUGAUCAGGAGCUACGAUGAGGUCCUCGAGAAGAAAAGGAAUACUAAUUCAAAAGGGUCUGUGAUUGGAAUAACUCUCAUAGACCCAGUUUAAGGGAGCUACACAGAAAUCUGUUUGAGAGAUUUGGCUGCUGCCAUAAUACAUACCCCACUAUAUAAGAAUGACAGUUCAUUUUCUACUUAACUUUAGUCCACUCAGCUCAUAUGGAUGUGAUGGCCAAGUUACCAAAGUCAGAACAACAAUGGAAAAUAAUUACAAACAUAAAUUUAUGACGCUGUGUAAUUUCCAUCACUUCAAUGGAGAGUUGGAUGGAAAAACAACAUGGAUAUUAUUAAGCCACCAAAAGUGGAAGCACACUAAAUGCCUUUGUGAAAUCAGAGUAUGACUUUUAGUAAGCCAAUGCAGAAGCAUGGAAGUAUUUCUUAAAUAUUCAACAACACACUAAGCUCUGAACACUUAAGCCUCACAUUAAUGUUAGCUUUUGUAUGCCAAAUCAAAAAGCACUCCUUGUGUUAUUGUGGUGCUGAUGCAUUUGCUCUACAUACAAACUUUAUGAAACCUUAGCAAAGUACAAGGUAUAGUAUUAUCAAGGCAAAGACAUAGGAAAACAUCACUUUAGCAGAACACAAAAUACUUUUGAUAUUCCUAUCCAUCUUCAGUUUUCGCAGUGCUUUAAAAUCUAUUUUACCAAAUGUCAAAGAAUCAAAUAUUUUAACAUUCAUAGACAGCUUUCAUUAGGCAAGCAUUAAGGUGAAACCUACAAGGAAGGUGCCAAAUAGAAAUAAAAAAAACACCUGUGUUGCGACCUUCAGGCUGACACUACACAUGGUUACACCUGAAGUCAAAUUGAGAAGAUGGCAUGAACCAGAGGAUCCAGGAGAUCUUUGGUUCACAGCCCAUGUCCUAGGUCAUCACAGUGUUUUAGUCAUUAUUUUGCUAAGGGAAGUGGACAGAGAGUUUCAGACUUUUGAUAUUUAUUCUACAAAUAUUGAAUUACCUUAAUAAUCAUGUUAUUAUUUCAUUUUGACUGUUAUAUAUGUACUGAUUUCUCUGACAUAAUACAGAAAAAAUAAAUAGGUUUAUAAAUUCAAAAAAUAAAUAUAGUUUUAUUUACUACAGUGCAUAUACAUUUUUUAAAAUUAAUUUAUUUACAAACUUUGUUGGUUUAUGUAAUAUUUUUUAUUAGCACUGAUAGGCUCUGUACAUAUUUUAGCAAUUUUGUGCAUAUAGUUUAAUUUGCUGAAGUUUCUUUACUGAUUCUGCAGAUAUGUGUUUAGCUCAAAUUAAUGAAAAAAUCAAAAUACAUUUAUAUGGUUAACUUACAUAAUAUACAUUGUUCCAGAUGCAUAUCUUAAUUAAUUAAACUUGCACAAAAUUGAUUAAAAUGAUAUAAUUGUUAGCUCUUGACUCCUGAUGCCAUAAAAUUUCCUUUUUAGCUGAGCAUAAAAUAUUCACCCAUAUGUAUUUGUAAAGGUACAUAUUAUUUUCAUGUACUGUUGCCUGUUUUUAUUGUUUUUAAAAACAUGCUAUAACACUCACCCUUGUAUUAUAAAUGACAGUUUAAUUAAAACUGUUUACAUUCCA